rnacentral:rRNA from 1 species
GACGAACGCUGGCGGCGUGCUUAACACAUGCAAGUCGAACGGAAAGGCCCUGCUUUUGUGGGGUGCUCGAGUGGCGAACGGGUGAGUAACACGUGAGUAACCUGCCCUUGACUUUGGGAUAACUUCAGGAAACUGGGGCUAAUACCGGAUAGGAGCUCCUGCUGCAUGGUGGGGGUUGGAAAGUUUCGGCGGUUGGGGAUGGACUCGCGGCUUAUCAGCUUGUUGGUGGGGUAGUGGCUUACCAAGGCUUUGACGGGUAGCCGGCCUGAGAGGGUGACCGGCCACAUUGGGACUGAGAUACGGCCCAGACUCCUACGGGAGGUAGCAGUGGGGAAUAUUGCACAAUGGGCGGAAGCCUGAUGCAGCAACGCCGCGUGCGGGAUGACGGCCUUCGGGUUGGAAACCGCUUUCGCCUGUGACGAAGCGUGAGUGACGGUAAUGGGGAAAGAAGCACCGGCUAACUACGU